CCUGCCCCUAAAAGCUUUGUAGAUGUGGCUGCUGUGCCACAUGUACAUCAGUAGGUGGCAACCUGGAAAGGGGUUAUGUCUAUGCUAAGUGUUCUAACCUAUAAACAUCUGAAUGAUUAAUAACCUAACAUU